rnacentral:rRNA from 1 species
AAACUGGAGAGUUUGAUCCUGGCUCAGCGCGAACGCCAGCAGGGGGCCUAAGACAUGCAAGUCGGGCGCGAAAGUCCGCAAGGAUGAUUAGCGCGGCGGACGGGUGAGUAACACGUGAGCAACCUGCCUUCUGGUGGGGGAUAACCCCGCGAAAGUGGGGAUAAUACCGCAUAAGUUUUAUCUGACUGAGGUCGGAUAAAAGAAAGCUGACCUCUGCUUGCAAGUUAGCGCCAGAAGAGGGGCUCGCGGCCUAUCAGCUAGUUGGUAAGGUAACGGCUUACCAAGGCUAAGACGGGUAGCUGGUCUGAGAGGACGACCAGCCACACUGGCACUGAGACACGGGCCAGACUCCUACGGGAGGCAGCAGUCAGGAAUAUUGGGCAAUGGGCGAAAGCCUGACCCAGCCACCCUGCGUGGGGGAUGAAGGCCUUCGGGUCGUAAACCCCUGUCAGGAGAGACGAAGUCUCGUCUGGCUAAUAUCCAGAUGGGAUGACGGUAUUUCCAGAGGAAGCGCCGGCUAACUACGUGCCAGCAGCCGCGGUAAAACGUAGGGCGCAAGCGUUGCGCGGAUUUACUGGGCGUAAAGCGCGUGUAGGCGGUUUGUUAAGUCCAGUGUGAAAUCCCUUGGCUUAACCAAGGAAUUGCGCUGGAAACUGGCAAACUGGAGUCCGGGAGAGGAAGGUGGAAUUCCCGGUGGAGCGGUGAAAUGCGUAGAUAUCGGGAGGAACACCUGAGGCGAAGGCGGCUCUCUAAGCUAUUCCUGACGCUGAAUCACGAAAGCUAGGGGAUCAAACGGGAUUAGAU